GGAGAGAUGUCCGAGUGGUUUAAGGAGCACGCUUGGAAAGCGUGUGUGCGGCAACGUACCUAGGGUUCGAAUCCCUAUCUCUCCGCCA
rnacentral:tRNA from 1 species